AUUGAACGCUGGCGGCAGGCCUAACACAUGCAAGUCGAACGAGUGGCGGACGGGUGAGUACUGCUUGGGAAUCUAGCUUAUGGAGGGGGAUAACUACGGGAAACUGUAGCUAAUACCGCGUACCAUAGGAUGAGCCCAACUGGGAUUAGGUAGUUGGUUAGGUAAAGGCUCACCAAGCCGACGAUCCCUAGCUGGUCUGAGAGGAUGACCAGCCACACUGGGACUGAGACGCGGCCCAUACUCCUACGGGAGGCAGCAGUGGGGAAUAUUGCACAAUGGAGGCACCCCUGAGGCAGCCAUGCCGCGUGAAAGAAGAAGGCCUUCGGGUUGUAAAGUACUUUCAGUAGCGAGGCGUUAACUACAGAAGAAGCACCGGCUAACACCGUGCCAGGAGCCGCGAUAAUUC
rnacentral:rRNA from 1 species